rnacentral:rRNA from 1 species
GGGGUUGACGGUACCCUACUAGAAAGGAGCCGCUAACUUCGUGCCAGAAGCGUCGGUAAUACGGGGGCUCCAAGCGUUAUCCGGUGUUAUUGGGCGUAAAGAGUCGUGUAGGUGGUUGGGUAAGUUAUCUUUCAAAUAUCUUUGCUUAACAAAGAGGAGGGGGAUAAUACUGCUCGACUAGAAUUUUCUCAAGGGAGAUCGGAACUGAGGGAGGAGUAGUGAAAUGCGUUGAUACCCUCGGGAACACCAGUGGCGUAGGCGGAUCUCUGGGAGAAGAUUGACACUGAGACACGAAAGCUAGGGGAGCGAAGCAGAUUAGAGACCUGCGUAGUCCUAGCCGUAAACGCAUGCUUGCUAGCUGCAUGAAUCUACCUUCGGGUGGUAUCGUGUGGCGAAGGUAACCCGUUAAGCAAGCCGCCUGGAAAGUACGGCCGCAAGGCUGAAAUUCAAAGGAAUUGGCGGGGAGGCACACAACCAGUGGAACAUGUGGUUUAAUUCGAGACUAACCGAAGAACCUCACCAGGGUUUGACAUGUAGCUGCACGUCUUAAGAAAUUAAGACUCUCUUGAAGGUGCUACACAGGUGCUGCAUGGCUGUCGUCAGCUCGUUCCGUGAGGAGUGCCCUUAAGUGGGACAACGAGCGCAACCCCUAUUACAUGUUAGAAAUGUCAUGUAAGACUGCCUUGCCAUUUGGCGGGGAGGAAGGAGGGGCAGACGUCAAGUCCGCAUGGUCCUUAUGCCCUGGGCUACACACAUGUUACAAUGAGUACGGCAAUGAGUCUGUCGCGAGCACGUAAGUGUAAGCUAAUCUCUUAAAUGUACUCUCAGUGGGGAUUGAGGUCUGCAACUCGACCUCAUGAACACGGAAUUGGUAGUAAUCGCGGGUCAGCUAUACCGCGGUGAUACGUUCUUGCCUCUUGCACACACCGCCCGUCAAACCAGCAAAGUCGAUUG